UUGAACGCUGGCGGAAUGCUUUACACAUGCAAGUCGAGCGGCAGCGCGGGGCAACCUGGCGGCGAGCGGCGAACGGGUGAGUAAUAUAUCGGAACGUACCCUGUCGUGGGGGAUAACACAUCGAAAGAUGUGCUAAUACCGCAUACGACCUGAGGGUGAAAGCGGGGGAUCGCAAGACCUCGCGCGAUAGGAGCGGCCGAUAUCGGAUUAGCUAGUUGGUGAGGUAAAGGCUCACCAAGGCGACGAUCUGUAGCUGGUCUGAGAGGACGACCAGCCACACUGGGACUGAGACACGGCCCAGACUCCUACGGGAGGCAGCAGUGGGGAAUUUUGGACAAUGGGCGCAAGCCUGAUCCAGCCAUUCCGCGUGCAGGAUGAAGGCCUUCGGGUUGUAAACUGCUUUUGUACGGAACGAAAAGGCUCUGGUGAAUACCUGGGGCUCAUGACGGUACCGUAAGAAUAAGCACCGGCUAACUACGU
rnacentral:rRNA from 1 species